AGCGAACGCUAGCGGCGGGCCUAACACAUGCAAGUCGAGCGGGGGAGCAAUCCCCAGCGGCGGACGGGUGAGUAACACGUAGGUUAUGUGCCCUUUGGUGGGGAAUAACCGUGGGAAACCAUGGCUAAUUCCGCAUAUCGAGCGAAAUCUUGAAAGCCUUCGGGCGCCCAAAAGGAGCAACCUGCGGCCCAUUAGCUUGUUGGUAGGGUAACGGCCUACCAAGGCGAUGAUGGGUAGCUGGUCUGAGAGGAUGAUCAGCCACACUGGAACUGAGACACGGUCCAGACUCCUACGGAGGCAGCAGUGGGAAUAUUGCGCAAUGGCGAAGCCUGACGCAGCCACGCCGACGUGACGUGAUGAAGGCCUUCGGGUCGUAAA
rnacentral:rRNA from 1 species